UGCACACAUGACUGUAAGUCACUUUGGAUAAAGGCGUCUUCUAAAUGUCAUAUU
rfam:Salmo salar isolate Sally breed double haploid chromosome ssa01, whole genome shotgun sequence.